GGUGAACGCUGGCGGCGUGCCUAAUACAUGCAAGUCGAGCGAACGGACGAGAAGCUUGCUUCUCUGAUGUUAGCGGCGGACGGGUGAGUAACACGUGGAUAACCUACCUAUAAGACUGGGAUAACUUCGGGAAACCGGAGCUAAUACCGGAUAAUAUUAUGAACCGCAUGGUUCAAAAGUGAAAGACGGUCUUGCUGUCACUUAUAGAUGGAUCCGCGCUGCAUUAGCUAGUUGGUAAGGUAACGGCUUACCAAGGCAACGAUGCAUAGCCGACCUGAGAGGGUGAUCGGCCACACUGGAACUGAGACACGGUCCAGACUCCUACGGGAGGCAGCAGUAGGGAAUCUUCCGCAAUGGGCGAAAGCCUGACGGAGCAACGCCGCGUGAGUGAUGAAGGUCUUCGGAUCGUAAAACUCUGUUAUUAGGGAAGAACAUAUGUGUAAGUAACUGUGCACAUCUUGACGGUACCUAAUCAGAAAGCCACGGCUAACUACGUG
rnacentral:rRNA from 1 species